GUUGUUAUUGAUUUAAAUAUACAUGCGUUUGAAGGCCAGAGAAAAGAAAUAUGUGUGCGCAUGUUUGUUUUAUUGAUGUUAAAAUAAGUUUGGGUUCUUGAAUUUAAUUUUAAAGUCAAGUAAAUGUUAAACUAAAGGAAACAUCAAGAAUAUAAUGGAAAUAUGGAAAAUAUAGGACAAAAACGAAGUGGAGAGAUAACUUAUAAGGUACAAUGUAAGAAAGUGAAAAUAGAGUCUUCAAGAAACGUAUGUUAUAUAGAUUAUAUAUCUCAACCACCUACUUUAGAAAGUAUAACUCUUACGUCAAUAGCAAUAAGACUGUGGUUUGAACCCGAUAGAAAUGAGGACGUAAAGCAGCAUUCUAUGCGCUAUGGAUCUGAAAUUAUAUGCACCGGACCGAGAGAGGCUUAUCAUAAAUUGGAAGAACUGAGAAAUUAGCAGAUCUUCGCUUGCCUGAUCUAGUAAAAAUCAAAGUAUCUGAUGUCAUCAGACCUAUUGGAUUGCAGUUGCUGAAAUGUUUCGAUUCGAAUGACGAUGAAUAUUGCAAAGUUAAAGAUCUUUUUGAAAAACAUUGCACAGUUUAUUGGACAGGCAUCAUCGAUAAACGUAGAUCACUUGUAGAACUGAUCAAUAAUGAAAACCAAGAAAACAUUAUU